rnacentral:rRNA from 1 species
UACGGAGGGAGCUAGCGUUGUUCGGAAUUACUGGGCGUAAAGCGCACGUAGGCGGCUUUGUAAGUUAGAGGUGAAAGCCCGGGGCUCAACUCCGGAACUGCCUUUAAGACUGCAUCGCUUGAAUCCAGGAGAGGUGAGUGGAAUUCCGAGUGUAGAGGUGAAAUUCGUAGAUAUUCGGAAGAACACCAGUGGCGAAGGCGGGUCUCUGGGCCGUAACUGACGCUGAGGAGCGAAAGCAUGGGGAGCGAACAGG